GGCCGGCUAGCUCGGUUGGUUAGAGCAUGGUGCUAAUAACGCCAAGGUCGCGGGUUCGUUCGAUUCCCGUACCGGCUA
rfam:Loxodonta africana unplaced genomic scaffold scaffold_139, whole genome shotgun sequence.